CAUGACUAAAUACCAGCUGUCCCUCAGGGAACAUUGCGUGGAUUGUGUUGAGGAAGUUUUCUCUUUUUAGCUGGUUGCAUUGGUGAAGGGCAGAUAUAGCUUCUCUUUAGAAAAGGCUUUGCUUGUUGUACAUGGAGAGUAGGGAAUACUGGGUACAUGGCAGCAUGGGGAGGGGGAAACUCAGGCAGAGUCUAGACACAGGCAGAUGGAAAGACAUCAUCAGGAGCCUAAGUCUUUGCAUAUAGCCUUUAUUGAAUGAAAGCCCUCCAUUGUGGUCACCAUCAAAAGCCUCAGAGAGGACUCUCAUAGGGUCCUUCGUCUUCUGGAGAUUGUGCCUGCAGCCUGGCCUGUUGCCCACAGCGGUCUACCUGCCACACUGGGAAAGAUCGAGCAGAGACAGAGAAGAAAAGGAGGCUCCAUUUUUCAGGCUGCUCUCCCGCAGGCUCAUGUUUUGUGUUCAUGCCAGGCAGAGAACACAAAAUGUUCCAAUAAAUAAGUAUCAAAGGUUAGUGGUGAAAAUGAAGGAGGAGGAGGCAUUGCGUGAAAAACUAAACAUGCAAAAUAUUACACACAAAGAGAACCAAAAUGCAGGUUCACUGGAAAUGAUAGACAAUAUGUUAAAACAAGAGGAGAGAAGAGAGCUGAAAUAAUCAAAUGGAAACACACAAUUUAGGGCUAAGAUCUUGUUGUGUUCAGCCACAAAUGAUGGCCAGCAGUGAGGAAUCUGUGUGUUCUCCACACUCUUCGCUCCUGGGAAGUCAACUCACAUGGACCAUGAUAUCAAUAUCUGCUCCUUCCCCUAAUAUCUGUUUGACCUUGGGUCAGUUACUUAAACUUCCUAAGCCUUAGUUUCUUUGUCUGGAAAAUAGGGAUAGUUAUACCUACCACACAACCACUUUGUAAUGAAUAUGUUGGAAAUUAUAUGCAAAUUGGCUUCCGUUGGUGUUUGGAACAUAGUAGGUUUUUAACUGGAAUAUAAUAGCUACCAUUAUCAGUAUCAUCAUAUUAAUUUAUAUUUCCAUCUUCAGCCCUUAACCCAGGAUCUUCAGUAAAUGUUGAAUUCUCAAAUUUGUUAAAUUCACUUGUCUAUACUAAUAUUUUACUCU
ensembl:lncRNA CCDC26 CCDC26 long non-coding RNA